AACGAACGCUGGCGGCAGGCCUAAUACAUGCAAGUCGAACGCUCCAGCAAUGGAGAGUGGCAGACGGGUGAGUAACGCGUGGGAACCUUCCCAGUGGUACGGAAUAGCUCAGGGAAACUUGAGGUAAUACCGUAUACGCCCUUCGGGGGAAAGAUUUAUCGCCAUUGGAUGGGCCCGCGUCGGAUUAGCUAGUUGGUGGGGUAAUGGCCUACCAAGGCGACGAUCCGUAGCUGGUCUGAGAGGAUGAUCAGCCACACUGGGACUGAGACACGGCCCAGACUCCUACGGGAGGCAGCAGUAGGGAAUAUUGGACAAUGGGCGAAAGCCUGAUCCAGCCAUGCCGCGUGAGUGACGAAGGCCUUCGGGUUGUAAAGCUCUUUUGGCGGGGACGAUAAUGACGGUACCCGCAGAAUAAGCUCCGGCUAACUUCGUGCCAGCCGCCGCGGUAAUAC
rnacentral:rRNA from 1 species